GAUGAACGCUGGCGGCGUGCCUAAUACAUGCAAGUCGAGCGAACAGAUGAGGAGCUUGCUCCUCUGACGUUAGCGGCGGACGGGUGAGUAACACGUGGAUAACCUACCUAUAAGACUGGGAUAACUUCGGGAAACAGGAGCUAAUACCGGAUAAUAUAUUGAACCGCAUGGUUCAAUAGUGAAAGACGGUUUUGCUGUCACUUAUAGAUGGAUCCGCGCCGCAUUAGCUAGUUGGUAAGGUAACGGCUUACCAAGGCAACGAUGCGUAGCCGACCUGAGAGGGUGAGCGGCCACACUGGAACUGAGACACGGUCCAGACUCCUACGGGAGGCAGCAGUAGGGAAUCUGCCGCAAUGGGCGAAAGCCUGACGGAGCAACGCCGCGUGAGUGAUGAAGGUCUUCGGAUCGUAAAACGCUGUUAUUAGGGAAGAACAAAUGUGUAAGUAACGAUGCACGUCUUGACGGUACCUAAUCAGAAAGCCACGGCUAACUACGUG
rnacentral:rRNA from 1 species